rnacentral:rRNA from 1 species
GAUGAGCAUGCGUCCCAUUAGCUAGUUGGUAAGGUAACGGCUUACCAAGGCUACGAUGGGUAGGGGUCCUGAGAGGGAGAUCCCCCACACUGGUACUGAGACACGGACCAGACUCCUACGGGAGGCAGCAGUGAGGAAUAUUGGACAAUGGGCGCAAGCCUGAUCCAGCCAUGCCGCGUGCAGGAUGACGGUCCUAUGGAUUGUAAACUGCUUUUAUACGAGAAGAAACACUCCUUCGUGAAGGAGCUUGACGGUAUCGUAAGAAUAAGGAUCGGCUAACUCCGUGCCAGCAGCCGCGGUAAUACGGAGGAUCCAAGCGUUAUCCGGAAUCAUUGGGUUUAAAGGGUCCGUAGGCGGUUUAAUAAGUCAGUGGUGAAAGCCCAUCGCUCAACGGUGGAACGGCCAUUGAUACUGUUAGACUUGAAUUAUUAGGAAGUAACUAGAAUAUGUAGUGUAGCGGUGAAAUGCUUAGAGAUUACAUGGAAUACCA